GCUCCCUGCACAGCAUCCUACCAUUCCAAAUUCUUGGGACUUUGAAUUGAGUUGAGAAUUACUACAAGAGGAGGUUAGGAAACCAGUAUUGGAAAGAGGGAAGGGAGAGGAAACCAAGGCAUGCCAGGAUCAAAGAUAUCUAUAAAGCAGCUUUAUAAAUGACCAAGAAAAUGGGUUUCUAAAAAACGCAAAAUGGUGAGGCCUUGGGGCUGCAACGUGGCAUCUGUGAAGAGGACGACGCCACGCCCUGCUGGGAAGGGCUGACCUGCAUGCCAGGUGCUUGGCUUGGAGCCACCACACGCAACAGCAUGAAACUUUCUCUGGAGUGCCAAGUCAUUACCUGGAAACACUGGGGACAGAGUGAAGGUCAUGCCUGUUCCAGAGGAUGAAGAAACUACCUCAAAUCUGAGCUUCAAAUAAGUAGAGUACCACGAUGUGAAAUCUGUCAGAUACGGGAAAAUUAAGAUCAAACUGCAAAUUGCUGAAGAUCUAUG
rnacentral:lncRNA from 1 species